GACGAACGCUGGCGGCGUGCCUAAUACAUGCAAGUAGAACGCUGAAGGAGGAGCUUGCUCUUCUGGAUGAGUUGCGAACGGGUGAGUAACGCGUAGGUAACCUGCCUGGUAGCGGGGGAUAACUAUUGGAAACGAUAGCUAAUACCGCAUAAUAGUAGAUGUUGCAUGACAUUUGCUUAAAAGGUGCAAUUGCAUCACUACCAGAUGGACCUGCGUUGUAUUAGCUAGUUGGUGAGGUAACGGCUCACCAAGGCAACGAUACAUAGCCGACCUGAGAGGGUGAUCGGCCACACUGGGACUGAGACACGGCCCAGACUCCUACGGGAGGCAGCAGUAGGGAAUCUUCGGCAAUCGGACGGAAGUCUGACCGAGCAACGCCGCGUGAGUGAAGAAGGUUUUCGGAUCGUAAAGCUCUGUUGUAAGAGAAGAACGAGUGUGAGAGUGGAAAGUUCACACUGUGACGUAUCUA
rnacentral:rRNA from 1 species